UGAUCUGCCCUGCACUUCGGGAUAAGCUUGGGAAACUGGGUCUAAUACCGGAUAUGACCAAAGGCUGCAUGGCUUUUGGUGGAAAGGUUUACUGGUGCAGGAUGGGCCCGCGGCCUAUCAGCUUGUUGGUGGGGUAAUGGCCUACCAAGGCGACGACGGGUAGCCGACCUGAGAGGGUGACCGGCCACACUGGGACUGAGACACGGCCCAGACUCCUACGGGAGGCAGCAGUGGGGAAUAUUGCACAAUGGGCGAAAGCCUGAUGCAGCGACGCCGCGUGAGGGAUGACGGCCUUCGGGUUGUAAACCUCUUUCAGCAGGGACGAAGCGAAAGUGACGGUACCUGCAGAAGAAGCACCGGCCAACUACGUGCCAGCAGCCGCGGUAAUACGUAGGGUGCGAGCGUUGUCCGGAAUUACUGGGCGUAAAGAGCUCGUAGGCGGUUUGUCGCGUCGUCUGUGAAAACCAGCAGCUCAACUGCUGGCUUGCAGGCGAUACGGGCAGACUUGAGUACUGCAGGGGAGACUGGAA
rnacentral:rRNA from 1 species